CAGCGGCUGCUUACCAUGCAAGUCGAGGGGUAUAGUUCUUCGGAACUAGAGACCGGCGCACGGGUGCGUAACGCGUAUGCAAUCUACCUUUCACAGAGGGAUAGCCCAGAGAAAUUUGGAUUAAUACCUCAUAGUAUUAUAGAGUGGCAUCACUUUAUAAUUAAAGUCACAACGGUGAAAGAUGAGCAUGCGUCCCAUUAGCUAGUUGGUAAGGUAACGGCUUACCAAGGCAACGAUGGGUAGGGGUCCUGAGAGGGAGAUCCCCCACACUGGUACUGAGACACGGACCAGACUCCUACGGGAGGCAGCAGUGAGGAAUAUUGGACAAUGGGCGCAAGCCUGAUCCAGCCAUGCCGCGUGCAGGAUGACGGUCCUAUGGAUUGUAAACUGCUUUUGUACAGGAAGAAACACUGGUUCGUGAACCAGCUUGACGGUACUGUAAGAAUAAGGAUCGGCUAACUCCGUGCCAGCAGCCGCGGUAAUACGGAGGAUCCAAGCGUUAUCCGGAAUCAUUGGGUUUAAAGGGUCCGUAGGCGGUUUAGUAAGUCAGUGGUGAAAGCCCAUCGCUCAACGGUGGAACGGCCAUUGAUACUGCUAAACUUGAAUUAUUAGGAAGUAACUAGAAUAUGUAGUGUAGCGGUGAAAUGCUUAGAGAUUACAUGGAAUACCAAUUGCGAAGGCAGGUUACUACUAAUUGAUUGACGCUGAUGGACGAAAGCGUGGGUAGCGAACAGGAUUAGAUACCCUGGUAGUCCACGCCGUAAACGAUGGAUACUAGCUGUUGGAAGCAAUUUCAGUGGCUAAGCGAAAGUGAUAAGUAUCCCACCUGGGGGAGUACG
rnacentral:rRNA from 1 species